AUUGAACGCUGGCGGCAGGCCUAACACAUGCAAGUCGAGCGAGCGGCGGACGGGUGAGUAAUGUAUGGGGACUGCCCGAUAGAGGGGGAUAACUACUGGAAACGGUGGCUAAUACCGCAUACUAUCGGAUAACCCAUAUGGGAUUAGCUAGUAGGUGGGGUAAAGGCUCACCUAGGCGACGAUCUCUAGCUGGUCUGAGAGGAUGAUCAGGCACACCUGGAAUGAGACCCGGCCCCGACUCCUACGGGGGCAGGCGUGGGGAAUAUUUGACAAUGGGGGCAAGCCUGAUGCAGCCAUGCCGCGUGGAUGAAGAAGGCCUUAGGGUUGUAAAGUUCCUUCAGGCGGGAGGCGUUUCCCGCAGAAGAAGCACCGGCUAACUCCGUGCCAGCAGCCGCGGUAAUUC
rnacentral:rRNA from 1 species